rnacentral:rRNA from 1 species
AGCGAACGCUGGCGGCAGGCUUAACACAUGCAAGUCGAGCGGGCAUCCUUGUGGUGUCAGCGGCAGACGGGCGAGUAACGCGUGGGAACGUGCCCUUCGGUUCGGAAUAACUCAGGGAAACUUGAGCUAAUACCGGAUACGUGCGAGAGCAGAAAGGUUUAUCUGCCGAAGGAUCGGCCCGCGUCUGAUUAGCUAGUUGGUGAGGUUACGGCUCACCAAGGCGACGAUCAGUAGCUGGUCUGAGAGGAUGAUCAGCCACACUGGGACUGAGACACGGCCCAGACUCCUACGGGAGGCAGCAGUGGGGAAUAUUGGACAAUGGGGGCAACCCUGAUCCAGCCAUGCCGCGUGAGUGAUGACGGCCCUAGGGUUGUAAAGCUCUUUUCUCCGGGACGAUAAUGACGGUACCGGAGGAAUAAGCCCCGGCUAACUUCGUG